UAUCUCUGUAGAGUCUGCAUAUCAAUAAGCGGAGGAAAAGAAACUAACUAGGAUUCCCUCAGUAACGGCGAGUGAAGCGGGAAGAGCUCAAAUUUGAAAUCUUCAAGGUUCUACCUUGACGAAUUGUAGUUUAAAGAAGUGUUUUCUGUUAGGAGAGGUGGUAAAAGUUCUUUGGAAUAGGACAUCAUAGAGGGCGAGAAUCCCGUAUUUGACUAUUCCUUCUAGCUUUGUGAUACACUUUCAAAGAGUCGGAUUGUUUGGGAAUGCAGUCCAAAAUGGGUGGUAAAUUUCAUCUAAAGCUAAAUAUUGGCGAGAGACCGAUAGCGAACAAGUACCGUGAGGGAAAGAUGAAGAGAACUUUGAAAAGAGAGUUAAACAGUACGUGAAAUUGUCAAAAGGGAAGCGUUUGACACCAGUGUUGUUUUUCCGAAAAUCAAUUAAGAAUGUUUUAUUUUUGAGGAGUUAUGACUUCAUCGGCUUGCUCCUUUCUUUAUGGAACUUUCUUAAUGCACUUUUCGGUUAACAAGUCAACAUCAAUUUCUUUUGUUGUAAAAGGUUAAGAGGAAGGUGGCUUUACUUUCGGGUAAAGUGUUUAUAGCCUUUUAACUCUGCAAUCGGAGAGAUUGAGGUCUGCAGCGUAGAUCCUUCGGGGCUAGAUACGUUUGUGCUAAGUUAUAGCUUUUCAUAGACAACUUGUUGACUAUGUUUAGUCUUGUAGCUUACUCGCUGACGCUAUUUUACCUACGCUUAGGAUGUUGAGUAGCGACAUACGCAC
rnacentral:rRNA from 1 species